rnacentral:rRNA from 1 species
AGUGAACGCUGGCGGUAGGCCUAACACAUGCAAGUCGAACGGCAGCACAGUAAGAGCUUGCCCUUACGGGUGGCGAGUGGCGGACGGGUGAGGAAUACAUCGGAAUCUACUUUUUCGUGGGGGAUAACGUAGGGAAACUUACGCUAAUACCGCAUACGACCUACGGGUGAAAGCAGGGGAUCUUCGGACCUUGCGCGAUUGAAUGAGCCGAUGUCGGAUUGGCUAGUUGGCGGGGUAAAGGCCCACCAAGGCGGCGAUCCGUAGCUGGUCUGAGAGGAUGAUCAGCCACAUUGGAACUGAGACACGGUCCAGACGCCUGAGGGAGGGAGCAGUGGGGAAUAGUAGACAGUGGGCGCAAGCCUGAUCCAGCCAUACCGCGUGGGUGAAGGAGGCCUUCGGGUUGGAAAGCCCUUUUGUUGGGAAAGAAAAGCAGCAGGUUAAUACCCCGCUGUUCUGACGGUACCCGAAGAAUAAGCACCGGCUAACUUCGUG